rnacentral:rRNA from 1 species
GAUGAACGCUAGCGGGAGGCCUAAUACAUGCAAGUCGAGCGGUAGAGUGACUUCGGUUGCUUGAGAGCGGCGAACGGGUGAGUAACGCGUACACAAUCUACCUUUAAGAGGGGAAUAGCCCUGGGAAACUGGGAUUAAUGCCCCAUGGCAUCACGAAGUGGCAUCGCUUUGUGAUUAAAGCUGAGGUGCUUAGAGAUGAGUGUGCGUCUGAUUAGCUAGUUGGUGCGGUAACGGCGCACCAAGGCGACGAUCAGUAGGGGGCGUGAGAGCGUGGACCCCCACACGGGUACUGAGACACGGACCCGACUCCUACGGGAGGCAGCAGUAAGGAAUAUUGGUCAAUGGAGGAAACUUUGAACCAGCCAUCCCGCGUGCAGGAAGAAUGCCCUAUGGGUUGUAAACUGCUUUUAUCUGGGAAGAAAAGUCGGCAUUUAUGCUGAUCUGACGGUACCAGAGGAAUAAGCACCGGCUAACUCCGUGCCAGCA